rnacentral:tRNA from 1 species
GCCAGUGUGGCAUAGUGGUUGGAGUGCUGGGCAAUGACUCUGGAGACCAGGGUUCGAAUCCCCACUUGGCCA